rnacentral:rRNA from 1 species
GACGAACGCUGGCGGCGUGCUUAACACAUGCAAGUCGAACGGAAAGGCCCUGCUUUUGCGGGGUGCUCGAUUGGCGAACGGGUGAGUAACACGUGAGUAACCUGCCCUUGACUUUGGGAUAACUUCAGGAAACUGGGGCUAAUACCGGAUAGGAGCUCCUGCUGCAUGGUGGGGGUUGGAAAGUUUCGGCGGUUGGGGAUGGACUCGCGGCUUAUCAGCUUGUUGGUGGGGUAGUGGCUUACCAAGGCUUUGACGGGUAGCCGGCCUGAGAGGGUGACCGGCCACAUUGGGACUGAGGUACGGCCCAGACUCCUACGGGAGGCAGCAGUGGGGAAUAUUGCACAAUGGGCGGAAGCCUGAUGCAGCAACGCCGCGUGCGGGAUGACGGCCUUCGGGUUGUAAACCGCUUUCGCCUGUGACGAAGCGUGAGUGACGGUAAUGGGUAAAGAAGCACCGGCUAACUACGUG